UGGUUCGUAUUGAGUUGUGGCCAGUGGUGACUGUGUUGAGUAGUGUUAAUCUGGGAUGUUUUAAACUUUGUUUUACUGAGAGCAUGUUCAGUAUUAUAUUGUAUUGUCAUGAUUUAACACUACAUUUUCUGUGCCUAGGUUUAUAACCAAAAAAAGAAGUUGAAGGAAAGAAGUUCUCCAAACAAAAGAAAAAUAAGACUUUUGAGUCCACGUCAUUUCCCUUGAGCCUUCAAGUUCGGGCAAGAGUUGAGGGCAUAUCACGCCACGCAAUGCCUGACAGGAGGGGGCUGUCCCAUCCCACACCAGCCCGGGCCACCGGCAUGGAGAGCAAAUCUCAUAUUUUACGUUCGGAUAUGGGUUGAAACAGGACGAAACUUAAGCCUACGAGCAGGCACGGAAGUCUCCAGUGAUUUGUUCGAGGAUUCAAGAAAGAAGAAAUGAGGAUCGACCCGCCAUGAUAUUUACGUCAUCAGCCAUCGCGCUGUGACCUGGGAAUUUAACGCCUGCUUUCACGCACACCGCUUCCCUGGAAAGUCUCGGACAUGAUACGAAGACGCGACCAGUGUUGUUAACCUUACUGAAAAAAAGUAAUUAAUCAUAGUUAAGAAUUACUUCUCCCAAAAAGUA